rnacentral:rRNA from 1 species
GACGAACGCUGGCGGCGUGCCUAAUACAUGCAAGUAGAACGCACAGUUUAUACCGUAGCUUGCUACACCAUAGACUGUGAGUUGCGAACGGGUGAGUAACGCGUAGGUAACCUGCCUGGUAGCGGGGGAUAACUAUUGGAAACGAUAGCUAAUACCGCAUAAUAUUGAUUAUUGCAUGAUAAUUGAUUGAAAGAUGCUAUUGCAUCACUACCAGAUGGACCUGCGUUGUAUUAGCUAGUAGGUGAGGUAACGGCUCACCUAGGCGACGAUACAUAGCCGACCUGAGGGGGUGAUCGGCCACACUGGGACUGAGACACGGCCCAGACUCCUACGGGAGGCAGCAGUAGGGAAUCUUCGGCAAUGGACGAAAGUCUGACCGAGCAACGCCGCGUGAGUGAAGAAGGUUUUCGGAUCGUAAAGCUCUGUUGUAAGAGAAGAACGGGUGUGAGAGUGGAAAGUUCACACUGUGACGGUAUCUUACCAGAAAGGGACGGCUAACUACGU